UACGGAGGGAGCUAGCGUUGUUCGGAUAUACUGGGCGUAAAGCGCACGUAGGCGGCGCAGCAAGUCAGGGGUGAAAUCCCGGGGCUCAACCUCGGAAUUGCCUUUGAUACUGUCUAUCUUCGAGUUCGGGAGAGGUUGGCGGAAUUCCUAGUGUAGAGGUGAAAUUCGUAGAUAUUAGGAAGAACACCAGUGGCGAAGGCGGCCAACUGGCCCGAUACUGACGCUCAUGUGCGAAAGCGUGGGGAGCAAACAGG
rnacentral:rRNA from 1 species